rnacentral:rRNA from 1 species
UCUAAUUGGGUGGUAAAUUCCAUCUAAAGCUAAAUAUUGGCGAGAGACCGAUAGCGAACAAGUACCGUGAGGGAAAGAUGAAAAGCACUUUGGAAAGAGAAUGAAACAGUAUGUGAAAUUGCUGGAAGGGAAACGAUUGAAGUUAGACUUGCGUUUGCAACAUUCAGCCUUUCUUCGGACUGGUGUAUUUGUUGCUUUUGCAGGCCAGCAUCAGUUUGCUUUGGUGUAUAAGGGUAAGGAGAAUGUGGCAUCCUCGUGAU